rnacentral:rRNA from 1 species
AUUGAACGCUGGCGGCAUGCCUUACACAUGCAAGUCGAACGGCAGCGGACCUUCGGGUGCCGGCGAGUGGCGAACGGGUGAGUAAUAUAUCGGAACGUACCUUUCAGUGGGGGAUAACGUAGCGAAAGUUACGCUAAUACCGCAUAUUCUGUGAGCAGGAAAGCAGGGGAUCGCAAGACCUUGCGCUGAUUGAGCGGCCGAUAUCAGAUUAGCUAGUUGGUGAGGUAAAGGCUCACCAAGGCGACGAUCUGUAGCGGGCCUGAGAGGAUGAUCCGCCACACUGGAACUGAGACACGGUCCAGACUCCUACGGGAGGCAGCAGUGGGGAAUUUUGGACAAUGGGCGCAAGCCUGAUCCAGCCAUGCCGCGUGAGUGAAGAAGGCC